rnacentral:rRNA from 1 species
AAACGACAAUGGGUGUGAAAAACACCCACGCCGAAAGACCAAGGGUUCCUGCGCAACGUUAAUCGACGCAGGGUUAGUCGGUUCCUAAGGCGAGGCUGAAAAGCGUAGUCGAUGGGAAACAGGUUAAUAUUCCUGUACUUCUGGUUACUGCGAUGGAGGGACGGAGAAGGCUAGGCCAGCUUGGCGUUGGUUGUCCAAGUUUAAGGUGGUAGGCUGAAAUCUUAGGUAAAUCCGGGGUUUCAAGGCCGAGAGCUGAUGACGAGUCGUCUUUUAGAUGACGAAGUGGUUGAUGCCAUGCUUCCAAGAAAAGCUUCUAAGCUUCAGGUAACCAGGAACCGUACCCCAAACCGACACAGGUGGUCGGGUAGAGAAUACCAAGGCGCUUGAGAGGACUCGGGUGAAGGAACUAGGCAAAAUGGCACCGUAACUUCGGGAGAAGGUGCGCCGGCUAGGGUGAAGGAUUUACUCCGUAAGCUCUGGCUGGUCGAAGAUACCAGGCCGCUGCGACUGUUUAUUAAAAACACAGCACUCUGCAAACACGAAAGUGGACGUAUAGGGUGUGACGCCUGCCCGGUGCCGGAAGGUUAAUUGAUGGGGUUAGCGCAAGCGAAGCUCUUGAUCGAAGCCCCGGUAAACGGCGGCCGUAACAAUAACGGUCCUAAGGUAGCGAAAUUCCUUGUCGGGUAAGUUCCGACCUGCACGAAUGGCGUAACGAUGGCGGCGCUGUCUCCACCCGAGACUCAGUGAAAUUGAAAUCGCUGUGAAGAUGCAGUGUAUCCGCGGCUAGACGGAAAAACCCCGUGAACCUUUACUGUAGCUUUGCACUGGACUUUGAGCCUGCUUGUGUAGGAUAGGUGGGAGGCUUUGAAGCGUGGACGCCAGUUCGCGUGGAGCCAUCCUUGAAAUACCACCCUGGCAUGCUUGAGGUUCUAACUCUGGUCCGUAAUCCGGAUCGAGGACAGUGUAUGGUGGGCAGUUUGACUGGGGCGGUCUCCUCCUAAAGAGUAACGGAGGAGUACGAAGGUGCGCUCAGACCGGUCGGAAAUCGGUCGCAGAGUAUAAAGGCAAAAGCGCGCUUGACUGCGAGACAGACACGUCGAGCAGGUACGAAAGUAGGUCUUAGUGAUCCGGUGGUUCUGUAUGGAAGGGCCAUCGCUCAACGGAUAAAAGGUACUCCGGGGAUAACAGGCUGAUACCGCCCAAGAGUUCAUAUCGACGGCGGUGUUUGGCACCUCGAUGUCGGCUCAUCACAUCCUGGGGCUGAAGCCGGUCCCAAGGGUAUGGCUGUUCGCCAUUUAAAGUGGUACGCGAGCUGGGUUUAGAACGUCGUGAGACAGUUCGGUCCCUAUCUGCCGUGGACGUUUGAGAUUUGAGAGGGGCUGCUCCUAGUACGAGAGGACCGGAGUGGACGAACCUCUGGCGUUCCGGUUGUCACGCCAGUGGCAUUGCCGGGUAGCUAUGUUCGGAAAAGAUAACCGCUGAAAGCAUCUAAGCGGGAAACUUGCCUCAAGAUGAGAUCUCACUGGGAACUUGAUUCCCCUGAAGGGCCGUCGAAGACUACGACGUUGAUAGGCUGGGUGUGUAAGCGUUGUGAGGCGUUGAGCUAACCAGUACUAAUUGCCCGUGAGGCUUGAC